GAUACUUGUUAGUUUAGAACGCUGCGUAUGAAGAUUUAUAUGUCCAAACGGUACUAAGUUUACAGAUACCCUCGGAGAAUCUACUGUAUCAUGUUCAAUGGACAAUGGACUGGACCUGGAGGCCCAGCUGGCCAGUAAAGAAAGGGAGUGGAAGGAGCUCCAGGCUGUAAGGGUUCAUCAGCUGGAGAGUUCCCUCAAAAAGGCCCAGGAGGAAUGCUCCUCUCUCAGGGAACAGUACCAACAACUGUGGGAAGACUUCCAGUUCAACCUGGCCAUCCUGUGUGAACGAGACAGAGAGCUGGAGAGAUAUGAUGUUAUCACUGCCAGAGCUUUGAGUGUGGAGCAAAACAGGCAGGAGGACUUGAAUCAGCUCCGUAUGCAGGUCGCCAAGCUGCAGGAGCAGAGAGCCAGAGAGGCUGAGGAGAGACAGGAGGAGCUCAGUAAAAGUCAGCACGGUGCUGCUCAGCUCAGGCUGCACCUGGACAAACUCAAGUGUUCUACGGCUGAUGAAAUGAAAAAGCAAACAGAGGAGAAUGAGAGAGAGAAAUGGGAUUUGCAGCGCAGAAUACAAGAGACAAAGGGAGAGAUGACCCUACAGAGACAGGAGAUGGCAGCAGCUUUUGACAGUGAGCUCAAACAGCAGAAACACAAGUUCACCUUGAAAAUGGAUGAGAUGCGUGCUAUGGUGCUGUCUCAUGAGCUCAUGGUGAAGCUGCUGUCUAAAGAGACUGAAGUUUACUGCCAGGCUCAGCUUCAGGCUACAGAGGCUCUCAAAGCAUCUGAGCAGUUGUGUCAACAGAUACAAACCCAGCUGCAGCACAAAGACCAGGAGAUCAAAGAUCUCACUGCUAUCAAGGACCACAGGAUAAAGGAGUUUAAGGAUGAGGUGAAACGGAUGGAGACCAAACUGAAGAAGGAGGAGGAUGACAACAUUAAGAAAUAUGAGAAUUUGGUCCAAGCUCUGAAGGAGUGUGAUGGUCAGCUGGAGGCUCAGUGCCAGGCCCAUACAAAGCAGCUGCAGAAGGCUGAGAAACACAUUGUCAAACUACAGGAGAAGGUGGAAGUUCUGGCUGCACAGCUACGCUGCACACAGAAAGACCAGCAGGAGGCCAUGGCACAGAAAGAUGAGACAAUCCAGAGGCUUUGCACAGAGGUAGAAACAACCCGAACUGGCUGGAACAAAUACAUCAGUCAUGUCUCCAGUGAAAUGGUUGUCAAGGAUACAGAGAUGAUUGCCCUGCAGGAGAGAGAAACCAAACUUAGGACUGAGCUGGAGAGGAGCAGGGAGGAGUUGGAGAGUUACAAGCUGCAGCUGAGUGCUGGUCUGAAGAGAGAAAGGGCCUUAGAACAGAUGCAAGUCCAGUUGGAGCUGGAGUGGCAGAGACGCUGUGACAACAUGAAGGCCGAACAUUACCUUGCCAAUGAACAGCUAAUACAAGACCUGACCCAAGCUAGAGAUCAGACAAAAGCUGAGCUGAAGGAGAGAGAACAAGAGCUGCAGGAUUUGACUGUCUUACUGCGUUCUGUUAAAAUGGAGAGAGACCAGGCAAUACAGGGUCUUAUAUCAAAGGUAGACUCUCUGGCAUCAGAAGAAAUCCGUUGUCUGCAGGAGCAGAACACCAUCCUGCGGGCUGUGGUUUCCCAGAUGAGGAAGGACAUGGAGGGUCUAAGUCAUCCACCACCCCAUCCACAGGCCUCCCCUCCUCAGCCAGUUCAGCAUCCAGAAGCCCCUGUCACCAUCUCCAUCACCCCUACAGCCAACACUCAGAUGGCCACUGAACCACCUCCCCAGUCCACUGGCAUGUCCCCCAAAGUAACAACAGAGAAACAAGCUAACACCUGGGUGUUGACAAAGCAGGAGGACAGAGUGGUACAGACACAGUCUGCUCUCGCCAACGUCACAAAACAGAGCGCACUGGUAAAACAGCUCCUAGAGGAGAACCGGUGUUUGCCGCAGCAGCGGACCUCAAGUCUGUUUGACAGUGUCCAGGCUGCAAGAGGCAACCCCUCUCUCCUGCAUACCAGGCUGAAGCAGGCAGCGUCCUGUAUUGCCCGUCUGAGCAAAGAGAAACAGCAGCUGAUAGAGAUGGGCAACCGCCUUCGAGCCCAGAUCACCACUCCUGGACCACAGGAACCAUUGGAGCCAGAGAAGGACUCCUCCACAGAGAAGCAAGGAGACCAACAUGACCAGCUGUCUGCUCUGGAACAGCUGCAGUAUCAGCUCACCACACAGGAACUGCAGUAUGCUCUGAGACAGAGGGUUGGCACUGUUGCUGAACAGCUCCUCCCUCCUACCACCAAAGGGGCUGCCAAUCCUUGGCCCCAGGGCCACAAAACCAUGGACAGGCCUGAGAGCUCCAAGAACAAAGAGAACACUCCUCCACUCAGCCAGUCACAAAGCUCACUGGAAAUGGGGGGGGCACAGCCCCACUCCGGUCUGCCCAGGUCUCUGUUUUCAUCAGAGGAAUCACUGAGAUCCUUAAAGGAGCUGUGGGAGAUGCUGGACCAUGUACCCAGUCCAUCUAUUUACUCAGAAGUGUCCAAACAUCCUGAGGCAUGAGCACCUUGCUCAAGGGGACCUGAACUAGUGACGUUAAGCAACCUCAUGGCCUUGAUGUUAUAACAGUGGCGUGUCAGUUUCAGUGAGGUCUCAGUCCACAAUUCUGGUAAAGGUGAGCUGAGCAGGAGGGAGGUGGCUGGUGGUGCUGGAGUCCGGAUGAUGGUGCAUGGUAUCAAUGCUCCGAUUCAUAGCCAGUCAUAGUCUAAAACACAACCAAACACUACAAAGAGCAUCAGGCCUGGAGCAUCUGGCAAGAUCAACAAGAUAAGAAACUACAAUGUUAAAGACUGACUCAUGCACAGAUGUCUGUAAGUAUUUUGGUCCUGUUCUACUCAGCCUGUGGCAACUGGUGCAUGAAAUCUCCUGUGGCUAUGGAGGAGCUUUGUCAAGUCUGGUGUCAUGAAUUACAUUAACUGAAUGAAUUGACAGAAAGCCUGCAUUGCAAACUGUGGAGGGAGGUGUUAAUGUAAAAACUGUUUUAUUGAAUGCAUUUAUGGUCCCAUACCAGGACGUGAAGGUCAGGAUAUCUUAGCCUCUGCUGCUUUGAUUUGUACCAUUAAUUUAGAAUCCUCCUCUAGUGAGUUCACCAGAUUUAUAGCAGUAGGUUGCUCUUACAUCCAAUAUGUACAGAGUUUUUAUUUAAUAAUUGCUUCCUCCAAAUGAUCACAAAGGCAUAAUUCUUCAUUACAUUUUAGACUAAAACAUAUGGUAAGAACAUAUAUUUAUAUUUUUACUGCUCCUUCCAACAUCAGAGCUCAAGUAACUGAGCAGUUGAAGACCUAUAAGCUUUAUUGUGUUAAUUUUUUAAUGUAUGCAUUGUUCAAGGCCAUCCUGUAUGUUUUAUUGCCUUGUAAUAAACACAUUUU